rnacentral:misc_RNA from 1 species
CAAAUUAAAAUACUAAAAAUAAAACAAGAAAAACAUAAAACAAGAGAAGUAACAUAGAGAAAUAAAAAAAAUCGGAAAGAAAAUUGAACGGUAGAGACUCUUCAUGGGUCAUGGGAGAAAAUCACUAUUACAAAUCAAGUUCUGCAAAGAUAAGGGUGCUAGUACAUACUAUUACAUAUAAAAGUUGAAACAAAAAUUAAAUUGAUUAGAAUGUAUUGCAAAGAAAACCAACAUCCCUACAUGGAACUCAGCUAGAGCUGAGCAAUUUAUGCAAGCGUAAAGAUCACACAAACUCAGUUGAUAACGAGCGAUCAUGUCGAGCGUUUCACCUUUUUUACUGUUUUUCGCAAUAGUCCUCCUUAUUAAUAGUGCAUUCGGAACACCAUGCGGUUCUCCAAAAACGUCUCAACAUGGCCCAAACUAUCGAAGCUGGCAGGUCUCGAUCGUCUACGAUGGCCAACAGGACCAGUUCAAUCCGCUGCAGUGCAGUGGGACCAUUCUGAACGAUCGAUUCGUUAUCACGGCCGCUCACUGUUUGCAUGAUUUGAACGGCGAUCCGGUUCCGUUGCCGAUGCUCCAGAUCCAAUCCGUCAACAAUUUGGCCAUCAGCAGAUCGAUCGCAAGGGUGUACCACCCCAAGAAGUUCAACGUUGAGCGUUUGGAUGAUGACGUCGUUUUGUUGAAGCUAGAUCGACCAUUUUUGUUCAACAGCUACGUUUCGCCAAUCUGUUUCAAUUCUACUAAACUUGUGAGCCCUGAAAUCUAUGCUCUAGACGUAAGUCAUCUAGAGCCGGAAUCAGAACUGAACGUUGUAGAUUUCAGCACACUACCGACUGCCAAUUGUAACGUAAUAAACAGUGAAAUAUUCGAUGCAACCUUUGGAAAUUCGCUUUGUGUCGGUGAAUUCGAUGCUUCCCAGACGUACCACAGAAAGGCAGGUAUGGCCCUGAUGAUCAGAGCAAACGAUACCUUGUAUAUCGGAGGAGUUGUACUGUAUACAACUGGCUCAUCACAAGGCAACAUUUCCUUUGCUGGAGGAAUCAAUCUUGAGCCAUAUGCAGUCUGGAUAGACACGACGAUCAAUCGUCACCUGAGACUGAGCGUUAGCGAACAAAAAUGUCAAGAGUACAGCGCAGUUGCAGCCACGAAAGAAGUAACCAUGUGGAUUCCGACAGUGGUGCUUCUGGACGAGAGUUUCAACAUUUUCAAGCCGCUUUGUUUUGCGAACUUCAUCAGCGAGCACUUUUUGCUAACGGCGGCAAAGUGUAAAUCCGCAACAAGCAAGAUCAGUUUUCAUUCAACAUUACGUAUGGGAUACGGAGAAAAUCACUGAAUUUGAAUUUUACACAAUACCAUCUGACCCAAAUGGAAUAGCACUUGUACAAAUUCCUGACAAACCCCGCAAGUUCAACCAGUUAAUUAACUGCCUCUGGACUGAGGAAGACACUCCAGUCAAAUUCGUAGCCCAAGUCAAACACGCCAUUGGUUACCACAUGGAGGACUACUUCCGGGCAGAAUACGUCCCAACGAAGCCCAUCAAGCUGGUGGACAUCAAACAUUGCAGCGUUAUCGAGUCGAUGAGGAUCCAAUCGGCACCUGGGGACGUCGUGGCGGUUAAAAAAGGCAAUGAAACAAUAAGACGCAUUAUUGGGUUGAGCACCAAAGGUUUUAGCAGUUGUUACGAGCGAUCUGUGAAAAGCAUCGUGGAGAAUAUCGACUGGAUAGAAAGCAUUGUGUGGGGGUAGCUACACAGCAAAUGUUUAAUUGCCAUUUCAGUAAAAUAAAAUAACUGAAUGCGAUUCACUUUUGCUAAAACACGGUAAUGAACAAAAACAUUGCUGAAAAAUCAGUAACUGCAUAUCUGUUAAAAUGAAAUGUCA